GGCUUCUGUAGUAGUACUCAACAGAUUCCUGAAACUCAGCAUUUGGGGGAAUCUCAGGUUCUUAUUUUUCUUGCUAAAGUUUAAAAUUGCCCAUCAUGGAUAAUAUUUUGCGUACCAUUUUCAUUUCUGCUUAAAAUACACCACUCAAGAAGCCCCAAAAUCCUGAGGCUUUCUUAGCUUGAUUUCUUGGUUUCCCCAAGAAGGCAUCAUUUAUAUCAUCACUGUUUGGCUUUUCA
rnacentral:misc_RNA from 1 species